rnacentral:antisense_RNA from 1 species
AGACUUUUAUUAAAGUUCCCAGCAUGGCAUGCCCUCUCUCUGCCUCUUUGCAUCCUACCCAUCCUUCACCACCUCGCCACUCCAUAAAGCCCUCUCUGAUCACACCAGUCUGCAGCGAUCUCACCCUGCUCUGAACACAUAAGCACUCAUUAUCUGCACCAUUCAUUUUGCAAUUAAUCGUGUACUGCCUUGUGACAUCACUUCUAGUGCUCUCUCUGACUGUUAUCCAACUUCUCACCUGCUGAUGGUUGGAACCCUUGAUGACAAUAUGAGUGACUGGACAGCAGGAGCUACAGCGCCUACAUCUCUGUGUCCCUAACAUUACCUGACAGAGGCCUCAACACAAACAUGGAAGACUGCUAUGCAUACUUCAAUUCUACCUCCUCUGAUAAAACGUAUCCCAGGUGUCCGGCUCCCACCUGAGAUUGCAGGAAUCUUCAAGCCUUAACAUAUCUACUGGGCCUCAAGAUGCAGCAGGCCCUCAGAGAGCCAUCGCAACCAUCAGAACACUCCUGGAGAGCCCCAGGGAACGCACACAUCUUCAUUCCACCCACGUUCUUAUGAAGUAGCUUGUCUUCUCCUUCAUUUAAAAAAUGAAGAAACACUCCACUCCCACUACUUCAUUUGACUAGCCUUAAAAAAAAAAAAAAGGAGAAACUGAGACCUAUAAAUUUUAUCAAAACCCUGAG